UACGGGGGGAGCAAGCGUUGUUCGGAUUUACUGGGCGUAAAGGGCGCGUAGGCGGCCAGUGCAAGUCAGUUGUGAAAUCUCCGAGCUUAACUCGGAAAGGUCAACUGAUACUGCUCGGCUAGAGUGCGGAAGGGGCAACUGGAAUUCUUGGUGUAGCGGUGAAAUGCGUAGAUAUCAGCAGGAACACCCGUGGCGAAGGCGGCUUCCUGGAUCACCCCUGACGCUGAGACGCGAAAGCGUGGGGAGCGAACGGG
rnacentral:rRNA from 1 species